AUCUUCAAAGACUUCCACUGCAGCAGUGUCGGGGCACACUGUGGGUGUAGCUAAAACCCACCACUCCAUCAGCAGAUAUUAUUGGCCUGGCAUGGAAGCUGACAUCUGAAAAUGGAUUCUAGUGAUACGUAUAAAGACAGCCCAGCUGCAGAAAUGCAGUGAAAUAAAAGCCUUCAUCAGGAGGAGGAAUGUCAAUGUGUCCAGGUUGUCAUACAACACCAUUUCUCACCCCCACCAGCAAGACACCACAUCAUGUGAGGUGCUGGUCUGUAAAGUCCACCUUACAACACGGUGCCAUCUGGCUCUGAAGGGAAAGAACAGAGAGCAGUGAGGAGAAGAGAGACAAGGAAGACAGGAAGCAGUCAGAAAAAAUGGUUAGAUACUAACAGUAAACAGAUGGGAAGAAAAUGGCUUGGCGGUGCUGCAAUUUCCUAAUUUCUUAAUGCGAAAUUUCAGAACCCUACUAAAAAAAGAGGAAAAAGGAAAAAAAGAGAAGGUAGAAGUGGAAAUUAUAUGGCACACCUCAAGCAUAACCAAAGAGAUUUCCUUGCAAGGCUGCACAAGCUCACAGAGAUAAUCUUAUUGAAACUGAAAGCUGCCAACCCCUUGAUGAACAAAAAACAAUGGAGCUGUCUGUAACUGUGUAUAGGAGUGCCAAUUAUUAUUUUCCUGUACAGUAGUGGAGGGAAAUGUCCCUUCCUCUUUUGUCCAAACAGUAUUUGUGGUACUCUUUUUAGGUGCAAACAGCAUUUGCACCUACAAAGGAGGCUCUGUACAAUUACAGGGAUACUUAUUUUUGACAAAUGAAGUAACACAUUCUUUCUCUUACAAAUAUAACAUUUGUUUUAGAAAUAUUAAAUUGCACUCUUGCUUAAUUCAGUACACUUAGGGCUUUUGCUGCUACAGCCUUAC